rnacentral:sRNA from 1 species
AGAGAACUAGCUUCACAAAAGGUCUGUGGCUGAUGAUCCUUCAGCUAAGAUUUCAAAUGUAGAAGAACGAUUCAAAAUGCUAUCACUGUGUAUCUAAGAAGGAUGGGGCAGAUUUCAUUUUACCCUCUAGUCUCCCUCAAUGCAUGCACGGAUUUAUCUGUACGCUAAGCUCUCUGCUCUGCAUCUGUAGCUCCUUGUGGAUUAUAUUGUCUCAGUGAUCAGAAAUGAUUUUCUCGGAUAUGAACACCGUUUCUGGCUCCCCUAAAGUGCAUCCUCCUAAUGGGACCCGGUUUUACACUUUUCAAGUGUCUCAACCUGAUCUCAUGGCACCUGCUACAGUGAGAUUCUGCCUUUCAGGAUAUUGAGCAUCAUGACCUAGUGUCCCCUGAGAUAUGGAAUUUGCUGCACUGACAAAAGAAUUAAAUGCCUGCAGGGAACAACUUCUAGAAAAGGAAGAAGAAAUCUCUGAACUUAAAGCUGAAAGAAACAACACAAGACUAUUACUGGAGCAUUUGGAGUGCCUUGUGUCACGACAUGAAAGGUCACUAAGAAUGACGGUGGUAAAACGGCAAGCCCAGUCUCCCUCAGGAGUAUCCAGUGAAGUUGAAGUUCUCAAGGCACUGAAAUCUUUGUUUGAGCACCACAAGGCCUUGGAUGAAAAGGUAAGGGAGCGACUGAGGGUUUCUUUAGAAAGAGUCUCUGCACUGGAAGAAGAACUAGCUGCUGCUAAUCAGGAGAUUGUUGCCUUGCGUGAACAAAAUGUUCAUAUACAAAGAAAAAUGGCAUCAAGUGAGGGAUCCACAGAGUCAGAACAUCUUGAAGGGAUGGAACCUGGACAGAAAGUCCAUGAGAAGCGUUUGUCCAAUGGUUCUAUAGACUCAACCGAUGAAACUAGUCAAAUAGUUGAACUACAAGAAUUGCUUGAAAAGCAAAACUAUGAAAUGGCCCAGAUGAAAGAACGUUUAGCAGCCCUUUCUUCCCGAGUGGGAGAGGUGGAACAGGAAGCAGAGACAGCAAGAAAGGAUCUCAUUAAAACAGAAGAAAUGAACACCAAGUAUCAAAGGGAUAUUAGGGAGGCCAUGGCACAAAAGGAAGAUAUGGAAGAAAGAAUUACAACCCUUGAAAAGCGUUACCUCAGUGCUCAGAGAGAAUCUACCUCCAUACAUGACAUGAAUGAUAAACUAGAAAAUGAGUUAGCAAAUAAAGAAGCUAUCCUACGGCAGAUGGAAGAGAAAAACAGACAUUGUUUUUCAUGUUUUAUUGUAAUAUACUAGGCAUUUAUGUAUUACUGUGCAUUUCUUUUUAAAUGUGUAAGUCUUAUGUAAAUGGAUAUAAAUAUGAUUUUUUAAAAAAUAAAAUAUAUGGUUCAUGGAGUCUCGAGUGCAAACAUUUGACAAUUCCAAGUACUGUUUGUAUUUUACCAUUCCAUCAUUUUUACAGUUUUUGAAUUGUUAAUAGUCAAAUCAAUAUGUUUCCUUGAAGCAUGUUUCAUGCUUCAACGUGUUUCUCCUUCAAGUCUGUCAAUACUUAAGCUGAAC